GAUGAACGCUGGCGGCGUGCUUAACACAUGCAAGUCCGGGGAAAGCUUGGCUUCGGCUAAGUGGAUACCGGCGAACGGGUGAGUAACACGUGGAUAAUCUGCCCCCAUCACAGGGAUAACGUUUGGAAACGAACGCUAAUACCUGAUGAGGUGUAUACAUCAAAGCUUCGGCGGAUGGGGAUGAGUCUGCGUCUAAUUAGCUUGUUGGUGAGGUAACGGCUCUCCAAGGCAACGAUUAGUAGCUGGUUUGAGAGGAUGAUCAGCCACACUGGAACUGAGACACGGUCCAG
rnacentral:rRNA from 1 species